rnacentral:rRNA from 1 species
UACGAAGGGUGCAAGCGUUAAUCGGAAUUACUGGGCGUAAAGGGUGCGUAGGCGGUUCGUUAAGUCUGUCGUGAAAUCCCCGGGCUCAACCUGGGAAUGGCGAUGGAUACUGGCGAGCUAGAGUGUGUCAGAGGAUGGUGGAAUUCCCGGUGUAGCGGUGAAAUGCGUAGAGAUCGGGAGGAACAUCAGUGGCGAAGGCGGCCUUCUGGACCAAUACUGACGCUCAUGCACGAAAGCGUGGGGAGCAAACAGG